GAUGAACGCUGGCGGCGUGCCUAAUACAUGCAAGUCGAGCGAACAGACGAGGAGCUUGCUCCUUUGACGUUAGCGGCGGACGGGUGAGUAACACGUGGGUAACCUACCUAUAAGACUGGGAUAACUUCGGGAAACCGGAGCUAAUACCGGAUAAUAUUUCGAACCGCAUGGUUCGAUAGUGAAAGAUGGCUUUGCUACCACUUAUAGAUGGACCUGCGCCGUAUUAGCUAGUUGGUAAGGUAACGGCUUACCAAGGCAACGAUACGUAGCCGACCUGAGAGGGUGAUCGGCCACACUGGAACUGAGACACGGUCCAGACUCCUACGGGAGGCAGCAGUAGGGAAUCUUCCGCAAUGGGCGAAAGCCUGACGGAGCAACGCCGCGUGAGUGAUGAAGGUCUUCGGAUCGUAAAACUCUGUUAUUAGGGAAGAACAAACGCGUAAGUAACUGUGCACGUCUUGACGGUACCUAAUCAGAAAGCCACGGCUAACUACGUGCCAGCAGCCGCGGUAAUACGUAGGUGGCAAGCGUUAUCCGGAAUUAUUGGGCGUAAAGCGCGCGUAGGCGGUUUUUUAAGUCUGAUGUGAAAGCCCACGGCUCGACCGUGGAGGGUCAUUGGAAACUGGAAAACUUGAGUGCAGAAGAGGAAAGUGGAAUUCCAUGUGUAGCGGUGAAAUGCGCAGAGAUAUGGAGGAACACCAGUGGCGAAGGCGACUUUCUGGUCUGUAACUGACGCUGAUGUGCGAAAGCGUGGGGAUCAAACAGGAUUAGAUACCCUGGUAGUCCACGCCGUAAACGAUGAGUGCUAAGUGUUAGGGGGUUUCCGCCCCUUAGUGCUGCAGCUAACGCAUUAAGCACUCCGCCUGGGGAGUACGACCGCAAGGUUGAAACUCAAAGGAAUUGACGGGGACCCGCACAAGCGGUGGAGCAUGUGGUUUAAUUCGAAGCAACGCGAAGAACCUUACCAAAUCUUGACAUCCUUUGACCCUUCUAGAGAUAGAAGCUUCCCCUUCGGGGGACAAAGUGACAGGUGGUGCAUGGUUGUCGUCAGCUCGUGUCGUGAGAUGUUGGGUUAAGUCCCGCAACGAGCGCAACCCUUAAGCUUAGUUGCCAUCAUUAAGUUGGGCACUCCAAGUUGACUGCCGGUGACAAACCGGAGGAAGGUGGGGAUGACGUCAAAUCACCAUGCCCCUUAUGAUUUGGGCUACACACGUGCUACAAUGGACAAUACAAAGGGCAGCGAAACCGCGAGGUCAAGCAAAUCCCAUAAAGUUGUUCUCAGUUCGGAUUGUAGUCUGCAACUCGACUACAUGAAGCUGGAAUCGCUAGUAAUCGUAGAUCAGCAUGCUACGGUGAAUACGUUCCCGGGUCUUGUACACACCGCCCGUCACACCACGAGAGUUUGUAACACCCGAAGCCGGUGGAGUAACCAUUUGGAGCUAGCCGUCGAAGGUGGGACAAAUGAUUGGGGUGAAGUCGUAACAAGGUAGCCGUAUCGGAAGG
rnacentral:rRNA from 1 species